UGUGAAAACUUGAGGAACUUUCUUUCACUAGAAAAGAUACAAGAACAUUCCACCAAAGGGCAGCAUAUCUUGCAUGGGAGUAAACAAAGGUGAGAGUCACAUUUACAAUAAAACAUGAUGUACCACCUAAGAAACUA